rnacentral:lncRNA from 1 species
AUGCAGAAGAAAUUGAAGGGGGUGGGGGAGAAGGGAUGGGAGAAAAGAGGAAGUUGGCUACUUCAUUUUCUACUUAAAAUUUCAGUGCAGUUCCAUAGCAACAACGCCGGUUUGCACCAAGAUUUGAAAGUCUCAUUAUCUCACACAGAAGGAAAUCAUGCUAACAGGGUGACAAGAUCUAAGAUCAUAUUUUUUCAAGUUUCCAGAACGCAAGACUAUUUAGCAUAUGGAAUUGGUUCCUUUCCAACUUCAGCUGUUCUACAGUUCAGGAAAACAUCAUAAGUGAAAAUAAAGACUUUCGUCCUUGGAACUGAAGAUCCUCUCCCUAGAAAGCAAUGGAAAAAAUCCCGUCUGUCACCCCAGAGCAAACCACCUAUUAUUAUCUUAAUCCCAUUUUACUGAUAAGAAAACUCAGUGAAGUNNNNNNNNNNNNNNNNNNNNNNNNNNNNNNNNNNNNNNNNNNNNNNNNNNNNNNNNNNNNNNNNNNNNNNNNNNNNNNNNNNNNNNNNNNNNNNNNNNNUUAUCUUAAUCCCAUUUUACUGAUAAGAAAACUCAGUGAAGUUAAAAAAAAUAUAAAAGAAAAAUAGAGUAGGGAUGGUUAGAUCUCCGUAAGUUUUCACUAAAAAAUAACCCCUUUUAUACAUAAAUGUAUGAUUCAAUUUACAGAAAUUCAACUGAUCAGUUUUUGCUUCCUAUGAAUAAGGAUUCUUUAAUGCAAACUGCCUCACAAUUUUUAGGUUUCUUUAUCACUAGUUCCCUGGGAAACAGAAAUUUACAUUGGUUGCUAAGUCAACUUUUCAGAUAGCCCUUAAGAUCUCUUUAAAGGGUAACCCACCCUUUGGGCUUCUGAAUAAAACUCCAGCCGUUUGUUGGGAGUCUGAAGCUUCCUGGCUCUUUGGGCUCUGCUUCAGCCCUACCCUGCACUCUGUAACUGAGGUCCUCGGGACAAAACCGGCGGAAGGGAAAAAAAUGCAACAACUCCCUGGAAGGGUGCUCAAGAAGACUUUGGGCUGCAAACUCCACACCACUAAGCUUCAUCUCUGCAGUCUCAUCGUUUACUAUUAUUUCCUCUUGACUCUGCUUGUGUUACCAGCAUGCAAAGCCCAUCACUUUAAAAUCUGGGUCCUCCAACUUCACUGGACUGCUCGCUCUCACUUCUGCUUUGAGGAGUUUUAAUAAAGGCCUUUUCAUGUUUAUUUCUCAGGCCUUCCCCAAAUACAAAACUGUCAGUGUCCCCUGCCCCUUCCAAGUCCAAGAUAUCAACUUCAAACCUUCGUAGCAACUAAGUGAGCGUUUGUUAAGAACUUGAGUGAAUUUAUGGCAGCCCAGGCCUGUGUUUGGGAGACUGCAAACUCCAAAGCAAAACCGCUGAAUUUAUGUUCUCUUGAGACGGUAAAACCACAAACACAAGCAGGGCAAAGAACCCACCAUCCUCUCCAGCUUUCCUUCCACAUCUUGGUUCAGUAGUAAGACAAGUGAGUCCACUCCCUCAGGCAAGUGCAGCCUCCUCACGGUCAGGCUCACCUAAAACAUCCGCUGCAUCAUCGCAUCCAAGCCCAACUCCGUUACUGAGGCAACCGGCUUUUUCUUCCCCCAGGGUCACAGAGAAGCACACCCCUCGGGAUCCCCUGGUAACCGUCCACCGGCAAUGCCGGGGAACCACAACAGCGAAAGACUCGCUUUCCAAGGCUGCCGCGGCCCGCAAGGGGUGGGGGGGGGGGNACGGUGCGUGGGGGUGCGCAGCGUCCAGUUACAUUCCUGACCCACUUUCGCAUCCCUCCCUCCCUCUCCCCUCCCUCCUCCUCCCCGGCAGGCCGCGAGGGCACCGGCGCGCCGGAGAGCCACCCUGGAGCAGCAAUCCUUAGGCCACCGGCGGCGGGGGCACCCGCAGUCGGGCUCUGCAGGGGACCGGGAGGAAGGGAGAGGGGAGAGGGGGUGGGGGGGGAGGGUGCCUGCCUACCCCCGCACCCCACCCCCACCNNNNNNNCCCCUGCGCGGCCCCUCCCCCGUCACAUGGGCUCCAGAGCACCUGUUGGCGACCUCAGCCCCUAGCGGAGCCCCUCCCGCCGGCCCGGGCAACUCCCCCGCCCGCACCCCCACCCCCAGCGGGAAGGGAUAGGAACGCUGCCCGGUUCUAGCUCUGCCAAACCCGCUUCGCCCCAGGAGGGCGUGGGGGGCCGUUGGGCGACCCCUGCCCAGCUGCUCAGCUUUGCAAAGUGCAAAAGCGCGCUGGCCCGGCGCAGCGAUCUGCAGGAGGGGCUCCUGCCCGCCCCCGACCCCCCUCCACGUGCCCCUCUCUCCCGGGCGGAGCGGCGAGAUGGGGUGCCCCCGCCCCCUGCCCGACUCCACUGGAAACCUGGGCUCCGCGCGGGCGCGG